AGCCUUGUGCAGUGGCAGUAUCGUAGCCAAUGAGGUUUAUCCAAGGCGCAAUUAUUGCCAACAAUAAAAAAAAGACAUUUCCACAUUUUUAAAGUUGGUACAGCAUAGUAUUAUAACUGAACAAUAUGAAAUUGCUUUUUGUUAAG